CAAUAGCGUAUAUUAAAGUUGUUGCGGUUAAAAGCUCGUAGUUGGAUUUCUGUUGAGGAAGUCCGGUCCGCACUUUGUGCGUGAUCUGGUUCUGCCUCGGCAUCCUCGUGGGGAACGUGCUGCGCUUGAUUGCGUGGUAUGGUAUUCACGACUUUUACUUUGAGGAAAUUAGAGUGUUCACGGCAGGCAAUCGCUGGAAUACGUUAGCAUGGAAUAAUAAUAUAGGACCUUGGUUCUAUUUUGUUGGUUUCUAGAACUAAGGUAAUGAUUAAUAGGGAUAGUUGGGGGCAUUUGUAUUAACACGUCAGAGGUGAAAUUCUUGGAUUGUGUUACGACAAACUACUGCGAAAGCAUUUGCCAAGGAUGUUUUCAUUGAUCAAGAACGAAAGUAAGGGGAUCGAAGACGAUCAGAUACCGU
rnacentral:rRNA from 1 species